GUUUUUGGGGUUAGAGGUUUGUUACUGAUUGUCGAUGUCUCUGGUUCCUUUUGAACCAUGUCCCUCUCUGGGCAUGACACCGUCAUGGUUCCUCUAUGAACCUGACGCCAUUGGACUGAAGUCCUACCUAACUCCAAAUAUAUGCAUGCAUGAUCAUGUAUAGCAAACAUGCAUGCAACUCAAACAAACAUCAAAAAUCAUCUUAAAAAGGUUCUCAAAAAUCAUCAUCAAAAUAUGGUUUCAC
rnacentral:lncRNA from 1 species